UCUUUCAUCAUUCUAACACAUGUCUGCACAUUAUGAGGUUUUUAUGCAUUUGAGUCCACCUCUCAUUUAGCGUGUUUACAAUUUUGUUAUUGGAUGUUGCAGUCGUGUUGGGGUCUCGGGUAUGUGGUGGCUACUCUUUUUAUGUACAUAUUAUUUAAAUAGUUUACAACAUCUUUUGGUCUUUUAAUAUACAGAUUAAAUGCCUUACAUUUUAAAAGACGACAAAUAUGAGACAAAGUACAAGACUGACUUAAAAGAGGGAACUCAAUUUACUACGGGAAAGGUUUUGGUAACUCGAAGGAUAUGCAUCUUCAAAGGGACUCGACUAUCUUUAAAUUGUGUAUCCACUGUAUCACUAAUUUAUGUAACAUGAGACUUUGUAUUUUAUUUUAUUUGUACACUUAAUAUUUAUCUUAA